AUUUCUUUCACAAUGCCUUUAUUUCUACUGUUCUGGUUUGGUUAUUUUUGUGUAGACUAUGCUAGUUGCUACCCAACAGACCAGUAUGUAAGCUUCAAUGCCCACUUCAAGGUUUCCCAUGGAGGUGUCCAAAUGAGCUUCAACACAACGUUCAGCAGACAGAAUAUCAAGAAUACGAGUAAGAGCUUCAUCCAAGUGAGUAAGCGCAGGAAGCGCUAGUCUGUGAGCAGCUCCGUUUGCCUCCCUUCUAACAUGAUUCGCUUGCCAAACUUGCAAACUGUUCAGGAAUGUGUAUAUGCUCUCUGCUUCCAAUUCAGAAUCAAUGGCCAGCAAUUUAUAAAUAACCUGAUACAGCCCAUUGGAGGAAACAUUUUGAAUUAGUAUGUAAUGGGGACACAGAUAAAAACAACCUCUUGGAUUCGAUGUACAGACAAAAACAGUGGGAUAGGAUAAAGAUGAUGGUUGCAGACAGAGACUCCAUCAUAAAACCCAAGUGCAAGAUGAGGAUCACUUGAUGAGCCGCCUAAUACAGACAAAUAAUGAUGUAUUGUCAAGUUAAAUCACAGGAAAGUAAAAGGACAGCAAUGAUAGGUAAUCAUACCAAAGCCCAUUUCAUCUCCAUCUUUGUGUGACGAUUG